UGGCAGGACUAGGGCAACAUCUGUUUGCAGCCUUUGAAUGGUAUAGUGCUGAGAUUUACUUCUGGGCACAGUGACUACAUAUACUCAGCAACAGCAUGGCAAGAUUGAAGCUGAACAGAAGAAAGGAUCAAAGACUGAAACUGCAAUACUGUCCUUGCUGUAGGACACACUGGAGCAAACUUAAACUAUUAAAUGUUCCAUGUCAUCAAGUGAUUCUCAGAAAAUAUUUAGCCUAUCCAUCAGUAAUAGAUUAAAAAAGGAACCAUGGGGACACUGAUUGUUCAGACACUGUUUGGAGAAACCUUCUGAUUUUCAAAUGCUUAUUGGAAAAUCACUGAGAAGCCUGACAGCCAAUCAGGAGCAGAGUUGCUGUGCUAAAUCCAAUCACUUGGGAGGGACGAACCACUGCAUCGAAACUCUGGGGAGAGUGCAAGGAAGAUUGAGGAUCAGAGGGAAGGAGGAGUUGAAAUUACAUUGGCUGCUGGCAGAUGAAUUAGUUUCAAUAUAAGUUUUCAGCACCUGAUUUCAAUAGUGUCAGAAAUUUCACCUGAACUUCAACUGUUUAGCUAGCUCAGCACUUGUUUAUUAUAUUUUAUACAUAUGUAUAUGAAGAUAAUUUCAGGAAAUAUGAAUUUGCUGUGGAUGUAGGUGGAAAAUAAGUGUUUUCCAUUCACUUGUUUUAUGUUUCAUAAAAUCUCAGAAACGUUUCACAGCGGACCCUUAUGCAUGCAGAUUGUUCCCACAUGUUCCUCAAAGCUGCGCCCUUCCACAGCUGCAUUCUAGAAACUCCGCCAAAAAUAAAAGCCCUUAUAACACACCCUCUGCACCCAGCCUGUGCAUAAGAGAGCAUCCUAAAAAGGUCAGGUGUUGGUGCAUGGUCACAAACACAAGUAAUACACAGCAUGUGUUCACUGUUAGGUGACAGCAGCGAUGUCCAGCAGAUUAGAGUCCUUAGGCACAUGGCAUAGUGAUGGUUGAGCU